CUCAGAGGAGGGACUCCAAUAUGAGCCAGAUGGGGAAGAGCGGUUCCCCCAUAUGUUCUGUCUUCCUGUCUUGCCUUCCACUGCUGUAACAAUUCUGUGAGGCCAAGGUGGCAUGCCACGGGACACAGACGUCACCCCUUGACCCUGCCUGUGCUAGCUGCUCAGAGUCCAACUGGACUGGAGCACAACGUGGAUGAAGGCCAGAGCAAGAGGGUCUCCCCAGGUGACCUGGAACUUGUUAUGUAGACCAGGCUGGCCUCAGUCUCACA